UUGUUUUUGUAGUGUCAAGUGUUUUGUUAUUGUCUUGUGUAUCAUGUUUCCAAUAGAUCCAAAAAUAAAAUACAAUGGAUAAAUGCAACAGGAUGAACUGAUUUAUGGGUGCCAAGUAAAUAUGCAAUAAUUUGUUCAGUCCACUAUUAUUCAACACAAGUAGUCAGAAAAGAUAAAAACAAACGAUCGCAAGCAACAUCCAGCGGAUACCGGAACUCACGUGCAAAGGUUAUGUAAGCAGCAGAGUGGCCCGUGCCUUGGUUAGGCGCCGCGGCAGUAUUAAACGCAAAUCUCACGGAAGGUAAUGCUUCUGGCCACCGACUAUGCUCAGGAUCGAUAAGUAUCGCCAGCAUCUGUUUCCUUUUAGCAGGGUUAGCUUAGGUGUGG